GAUACCGUUUCUUCCUCACUCACCAUGUACCAUGCCAGUGACAUCUUAGCUGCUAGAGUGUGGAGCUGGCCUGUGGGAGUCAAGUCACCUUGUAAAUUUUGCCUAUAUAAAUUAACACAUCCUCUGUUAUGUCAUAACAACCAUGUAAGGGAGAGUGUUUUCCUGCUCUGUCUUAGGUAUUGGUGAUGUGACCUCUUCACGCAGGGGAAUCUUGAACAUUUUCAGGUGCACCAGAGGCUCUCUUCUUGGCAGAAUUUGGGAGUUGUUUAUUGCAGUACUGUUGUGCCCUCUG